UACGUAGGGUGCGAGCGUUAAUCGGAAUUACUGGGCGUAAAGCGUGCGCAGGCGGUUUUGUAAGCCAGAUGUGAAAUCCCCGGGCUUAACCUGGGAAUGGCAUUUGGGACUGCAAGGCUGGAGUGCGGCAGAGGAGACUGGAAUUCCUGGUGUAGCAGUGAAAUGCGUAGAUAUCGAGAGGAACACCUGCGGCGAAGGCGGGUUGCUGGGCUGAUACUGACGCUGAGGCGCGAAAGCCAGGGGAGCGAACGGG
rnacentral:rRNA from 1 species